CUUUCCACAGUUACAGUUACCUGUGGUCAACACAGUCUGGAAGCGGAUGAUCCUCCUUCUGACAAACGGUCAGCAGAUGACCAGAUGGAUGUUAGCUGAACCUAUUGUGAUAAUCCCUCUACAAUAUGGGUAAUUCAAGCCAUCAUGCAGUAACACCUUAAAUGUAUAGAGCAAUCUAUGCCAACUAUUUCUUAACAAAAUUGGGGAAAAACAUUAAAUACAUAUCAGAAUGGCUUGGUAA